rnacentral:rRNA from 1 species
CAUGCAAGUCGAGCGGCAGCGCGGGGGCAACCCUGGCGGCGAGCGGCGAACGGGUGAGUAAUGCAUCGGAACGUGUCCUUUUGUGGGGGAUAACCAGUCGAAAGACUGGCUAAUACCGCAUGAGCUCGCAAGAGGAAAGCAGGGGACCCGCAAGGGCCUUGCGCGAGAGGAGCGGCCGAUGCCCGAUUAGCUAGUUGGUGGGGUAAUAGCCCACCAAGGCGACGAUCGGUAGCUGGUAUGAGAGUACGACCAGCCACACUGGGACUGAGACACGGCCCAGACUCCUACGGGAGGCAGCAGUGGGGAAUUUUGGACAAUGGGGGCAACCCUGAUCCAGCCAUGCCGCGUGUGUGAAGAAGGCCUUCGGGUUGUAAAGCACUUUCGGACGGAACGAAAUCGCGCGAUCUAACAAGUCGCGUGGAUGACGGUACCGUAAGAAGAAGCACCGGCUAACUACGUGCCAGCAGCCGCGGUAAUACGUAGGGUGCGAGCGUUAAUCGGAAUUACUGGGCGUAAAGUGUGCGCAGGCGGCGUCGCAAGUCGAGUGUGAAAGCCCCGGGCUUAACUUGGGAAUUGCGCUCGAAACUACGGUGCUGGAGUAUGGCAGAGGAAGUGGAAUUCCACGUGUAGCGGUGAAAUGCGUAGAGAUGUGGAGGAACACCGAUGGCGAAGCAGCCUUCUGGGCCAAUACUGACGCUCA